rnacentral:rRNA from 1 species
UACGUAGGGGGCUAGCGUUGUCCGGAAUCAUUGGGCGUAAAGCGCGUGUAGGCGGUCCGGUAAGUCCGCUGUGAAAGUCGGGGGCUCAACCCUCGGAUGCCGGUGGAUACUGUCGGGCUUGAGUACGGAAGAGGCGAGUGGAAUUCCUGGUGUAGCGGUGAAAUGCGUAGAUAUCAGUCGGAACACCAGUGGCGAAGGCGGCUUCUUGGGCCAUUACUGACGCUGAGGCGCGAAAGCCAGGGGAGCGAACGGG